GGAAGUAAAAGCGUAACAAGGUUUCCGUAGGUGAACCUGCGGAAGGAUCAUUAUCGUACAAAAUGUGAGGGGCAUGCGAGGGCUGUCGCUGACCCAAAAGUCGUGCACGCCCGAGUGUGUCCUCUUGCAUAAUAAUCCAUCUCACCCUUUGUGCAUCACCGCGUGGGCACCCUUCGGGAUCAUCUCGGAGGGGGGCUCGCGUUUUACACAAACCCCCCUUUUAAAAGUGUAGAAUGACCACAUUUAUGCAAUCAAUACAACUUUCAACAACGGAUCUCUUGGCUCUC
rnacentral:misc_RNA from 1 species